UGGGGAAUAUUGGACAAUGGGCGCAAGCCUGAUCCCGCCAUGCCGCGUGAGUGAUGAAGGCCCUAGGGUUGUAAAGCUCUUUCACCGGUGAAGAUAAUGACGGUAACCGGAGAAGAAGCCCCGGCUAACUCCGUGCCAGCAGCCGCGGUAAUACGAAGGGGGCUAGCGUUGUUCGGAUUUACUGGGCGUAAAGCGCACGUAGGCGGACUAUUAAGUCAGGGGUGAAAUCCCGGGGCUCAACCCCGGAACUGCCUUUGAUACUGGUAGUCUUGAGUUCGAGGGAGGUGAGUGGAAUUCCGAGUGUAGAGGGGAAAUUCGUAGAUAUUCGGAGGAACACCAGUGGCGAAGGGGGCUCACUGGCUCGAUACUGACGCUGAGGUGCGAAAGCGUGGGGAGCAAACAGG
rnacentral:rRNA from 1 species